rnacentral:misc_RNA from 1 species
AAGUCGUAACAAGGUCUCCGUUGGUGAACCAGCGGAGGGAUCAUUACAGAGUACUUUACUCACAAACCCCUGUGAACUUACCAGUUUUGUUGCUUCGGCGGGCUGUACCUCGUCCUCUCCCCUCGUGGGGGGGUUCGUGGUGCGCUAAGGCUCGCCGAGGGUCCUAAACUCUUAUUAUUUUAUCGAGACUUCUGAAGUAAUUUUAUAAAUAAAUCAAAACUUUUAACAACGGAUCUCUUGGUUCUG